GAUGAAGAACGCAGCGAAAUGCGAUAAGUAAUGUGAAUUGCAGAAUUCAGUGAAUCAUCGAAUCUUUGAACGCACAUUGCGCCCGCCAGUAUUCUGGCGGGCAUGCCUGUUCGAGCGUCAUUACAACCCUCAGGCCCCCGGGCCUGGCGUUGGGGAUCGGCGGAAGCCCCCUGUGGGCACACGCCGUCCCUCAAAUACAGUGGCGGUCCCGCCGCAGCUUCCAUUGCGUAGUAGCUAACACCUCGCAACUGGAGAGCGGCGCGGCCAUGCCGUAAGACACCCAACUUCUGAAUGUUGACCUCGAAUCAGGUAGGAAUACCCGCUGAACUUAAGCAUAUCAAUAAGCGGAGGA
rnacentral:misc_RNA from 1 species